rnacentral:rRNA from 1 species
AGGACGAACGCUGGCGGCGUGCUUAACACAUGCAAGUCGAGCGGAAAGGCCACUUCGGUGGUACUCGAGCGGCGAACGGGUGAGUAACACGUGAGUAAUCUGCCCUCCACUUUGGGAUAGCCACCGGAAACGGUGAUUAAUACCGGAUAUGACCUUUGCCCGCAUGGGUGUUGGUGGAAAGUUUUUCGGUGGGGGAUGUGCUCGCGGCCUAUCAGCUUGAUGGUGGGGUAAUGGCCUACCAUGGCUUCGACGGGUAGCCGGCCUGAGAGGGUGACCGGCCACACUGGGACUGAGACACGGCCCAGACUCCUACGGGAGGCAGCAGUGGGGAAUAUGGACAAUGGGACGGAAGCCUGAUCCAGCAACGCCGCGUGACGGGAGUGACGGCCGUUCGGGUUGUAAACCCGUCUUUCGCCGUCGCGACGAAGCGAAAGUGACGUAGCAGGUAAGAAGCGACCGACAACGACGUCG